CAGAUUGUCUAAUUGAGUUUCUGAAAGCGUCGUCCACGUCUGCACUUCAUGGGACCAUACACUAGGAACUCACGCCAGAGAACUUCCUGCUCACCAGAUUGGUUUCAGUUUCUCUGUCUCCAUCGAAGAAGGUCAGCACUUUGCCUCGAACAGUUUCAUGAUUACACUCAUGACAUGAUUUACAGUACAGUAGUCUCAUGCGUUGAGCUCAGAAUACUGCAAUACUGACAUACAUUUUCCAAGCAUAAAUUAAUGAAGAAGUUAUUGCAACAGGAGGGCCUCUAAUUGUAAUUCAUAUACACAUUUCAGCUCAAUAACCAUAUAACGCAUCUUGCCCGAGCUUGAUACUUCCGACUAUCUCCAUGUCUUUCGGGUCAAAGUUAAGUUAGCUCUAUAUACGAGCAGGCAUUUUAUUCUUUGGGAGCAAGCAAGAAUCAAUAUGUUCUCUCGCAAUAUUAUCUCCUCCUUCCCCUUGUCUUCCUAAUCCCCUGCAGAUGGCAUGACUAGCUAGGUUCAUAACAGUUGUUGUAACUAUCCGUCCGGUCAUGAAUCAACAAUUACAAUUGUUUUGACUUCUACGAUCAGUUCAGCCGCCUAUGUUGUACUGCCGCUGCGAUUUAAAGAUUUAAGUUGUUAGGUGGAUAUAGGUUCCAUUAGAUUGAAAGUAAUGAAAUUUUAUUUGCCAACCUGGCUGCACUUUGUGAUGCUUUAUUUAUGUAUAUACUUAAAGUUCAAAUGUGAUGUAUGCUUUACUCCUUAUUUGAUACUUGCAUUUGUCGCAAGCACCUUGCUGUUCUGAGUAAUGGUUGAUAUCUUACAUUUAGCCGAGAAGCUGAAAACUUACGAGUUGGAAAACCUUCUAGAUAUACCUAAAAAGACCUUGAAGAUAUCUUCUACUAGACUGGACGAGCUGAUUGACUGGCGAUGGAGAUGCAGCAGUGACCUGCAAUUCUUUCUGCUCUGGAUGGUUCAUUUUGAUAUCUUUUUUAUAUCUGACAAGACACAAGAAAACAACAUAUCUAUCCUAUUAUAUUUACCACUAUCAUCUACAGUGAGUGCUAAGUUGCCCAUAAAUUUUAGUUGACUUCUGUUCAGAGUGAUCUGAAAAAUAGAUAGCAAAAAAGAUUAGUGGGUAUUACAUUUAGAUUAGCUACAUUUGGGCAAAUAAAUGAGUAGAAGUCAAUUUUGUUUGCUUGAUGUUUCACUUCUUUGAUCUCUUCAUCAUUCUCAUUUUGUUUCAUUGCUUACCAUUUGUUCGAAAUUUUUUCUAGCAGUGGCAAGCAUGGUUAGGGCGAGCAACGAGGGUUCCUGUAGUGCAUAACCAUUUCAAGUCGCCCAAGUUCUAAAGAGAGAUCAGAAGUGCCAGCUACUGAAGCAAAAAAAAGGACCUGAUACACAUUGUAAUCAUGGACUGCUGAUAUACCUGAUGCAUUUCUUCAUGAUGGUCGAUUUCCUUUCACCGGAUCUUACAUGUUUAAUUAUGUGUGCUCAGAACCAAAAACUGAUUGAGAUCUUCAGUUCUUACUUGCAGAUGUUCUGUUAUUCAGAGUAAUUCAGUUUCCAGUCUCUGUGUAUUAAUCAAAUUAUGGGUUAUUUUCAACCAUAUAGGCUUUUAUUAUAUGUUCAGUUAUGCUUCCAUGGGUUUUGCAUAUGUAUUAACAAAACAACCAGACUGCUAUUAUGUAUAUACUUGGAUCAAAGGGUGUACAAUUAAUUUGCUCUUACGAAAGGAAUGAGUAGGCAGCUAGCAGAAUGGGAGGACAAUCAUGACAAGCGAACGAACACAUAAAUAGUAAUCCCACAAUUUUUACAACUGCAUUCCACUUUAAUUUGGUAUGGACAUGCAUUUUUAUCCUUGGAGUACUUUGGAUUUUAAGUGGGAAUCAUUGGUUCUUUUCUUCUUAAUAUUUUACUUCUUAUAAUUACAAAUACCAAUUUUAGAGAAUUGAGCUCGUACUUAAAAUUCAAUUGAGUAUGAAGCAACUGCCCAUUGUGUGAAAGAAACAAUUAUAACAUUGUACUCUAACAAAUCACACAUAUAGAGAAAUGUUAUUUUCGAGUCUCCUUAACCUACUGAUCUUUUUUUAGAUAUAUGAAACUUGCAUUUGUUUUCUUAAUUCUUUUGCAAUGCAGGUGAUAUUCCUUGGUUGCAGCUGACGCUAAAAAAAAUUACUCCUGAAGCACUAGAAGUGCCCUCUCUAUGGCGCAUCACUCACUGGAUCCAGAUGGGCAACAUUCCGCUUCAAGAUUAAAGAGUACAGUUUUUGCAUGCUAUCAUUGCUUAUCCAAGAGUAAUCUACCAUGUGCCUAAUUGUUAUGACCGGCCAGGUCUAUGGCCGCCGCAGGCCCAACAGGCAGGCGUAGGCCAGCAAGUUACCUUAGUUUUAUUCAGAUUAGGCAAGUUAUCUCAGGAUUGAUUCUUCUACAAGUUAUCUAGGAUAUAAAUAUAGAUUGUAAGACUCUUUUGGAUGGAAG
rnacentral:lncRNA from 1 species